AAGUUUUUCAAGUUCUUUUUACUUAAACUCUUUUAAGAGUGGUUUCAGACAGAUAUGCUUAUGAAUUGUACUCUGUACAUCUUGCAUGUAUAAGUCGGGUAUGAAAGGCUGAUCACCUUCAUUACCAGUUGGUCCAGAUAUAUUGUUAUUCCUGUUAAAUACUUGUUCAGUCAAAACUUUGUUCAUGCUAAUUCACAAAUACAUUGUGAAGGAUAGUCAGCUUAUUAUUCAAACUCUUUCCAUCAUGAUAUAUCUUUGCAUUGUUUUUAAACUUGCUGGGCAACUUUCAUGCUCACCCUUGCUAUAUCAUGAUAAAACAUUGCAGAUAAGGCGAAUACGGCCAGUUACAGGAAAAGGAAAAUGCCAAGUUCAGCUUGGGAUAGAAUGUACAGCUAAUUUGUAAAAGUAUGGUUGAAGAAUAGUAUUGUUAUGUGUUAGAUAGCUUAUGAUUUGUGUUUAAGUAAAGGUUACUCGACCUUGGGGAAUAGUGUGUAAUGUAAUGUAUAAACAAUUUAUGUUUAUAUCUUCCGCAAACAGUUGUAGAAAUAGCGAACCGGAUCCGCGGCGAUUCGGGACCCGGAUUCGGGGCUGCUACAGUUGGUAUCAAAGCUGUUGGUUAUGAAGCUUAGGUAGCAAUACCUGAGACCAAUAACCGCAGUGAUUAGGAUAAGUACUAACUCACAUAGAGUUAGUUGAAGAAUCUCGCAGGGUCAAAAAGUUAGGUUUAAGUAUGGUACCAUUGUACUCGAAACUAGUUGAUGUAUGGUAUCUGGGCUAAACGAUUCCUUCAUAGAGCGGAGGUAUAUACGAACUAGCAACUCGGAACCUAGUUUGUUGGUUGUUUGUGGGAAACCACUCAGCGUACCAUAUUGAAAACUGUUAGAGACUCGAUGUGUACCAAGUAUAGGAAGUGGAUAGAUAGAGUCUAAGAGAUUACAAGUGUAAGGAUGGGAGAUCGUAAAACAAAACGAUCACAGAAUAGCAAUGAAUCGUAAUAUAUACGAUGAGAUCACUCCGUGAUCUGAUAAGGUUAUGGUAUGAAGAAAGAUCCAGAGAAUGAUGAAAAGUUUACAGCAAGAUUGCUGUGUAUGAAUUGUACUAUAAAUUGGUACAGAUCCAGAAGAGAAUUAUAAAUACGAAUUAAAUUCGUAUGGAGAAGGGGUUAGUGUUAGGUGGGGAUUCAAUUGAGGACUCAUGUCGGCAGCUGAGUUGUAUGAUUCUUCGUAUGGGAGCUGAAUUGUACUUGGUGUAAAAACCACUUAGUUUCUGGCACUGAUAAUCAUUGAAAUGUUUAUGUCGCGCUAUUUGUUAUAUGCAUGUUCAGAGGGUGAUUCCUUUCUCAUGUGUAUAACAGGUAGAUAGGUCAUAGAUAGAGGAUAUAAGGUUAAGUACGAGUUCUUAAAACUCAUACUUAUGGUACGUUCGUGACUCAUGAUUAUAUGAAAUGUUUAUGGACCCCUCAGCGAAUGGACGCCAAAGGUCUGUCUAGGAAAGUUCUUAAACUCAUAUGAUUGUGGUAAGUUCCUGAACUCAUAAGUGUGGUAAGUUUGACGAACUGGGUAUAGUUAUGUGUGAAAGAAGUAUUGAGGAUUAUAAGAAUAGAUAGAUCUAUUAAGUAAUGGAUCAGUAGAAAAAGUGAAGUUGAUGAUGGAAGCAUAGGUAUUCCAAAUCUUCUAGCUAUGCUAGACUUCGAAUUUUUGACAUCAAGCUAAAUACGCACUAUGUGCCUUUUGAAAACAAAAAUAUAGACUCGUAAUCAUUUUUGAAACGGUUUAAAGUACAGUCUAUGCUACUUAUUUCGGCUAGACGCGAAAGAUUUGAAGUAUCAAAAGUUGUUUUUAUUUAUCACUUAUGUACCAUGCAACCUGGUGCAGAGAUGAUAAAAAAAUGAUGGAGUCAUCAAUGCAGUAUUACUUAGUGUUGGAUGUGAUCUCAGGAUCGUCAACCCACUAUGGUAUGAUGUAGUAUGAUAAAAUCACCAAAUGACGGAAUCCUCAACGGACUGUAAAUACAGUGCGGCAUCAUGACGUCAUUCUCGAAAAAUGUUUUCAAAA
rnacentral:lncRNA from 1 species